rnacentral:lncRNA from 1 species
ACUCCCGCGGUCUCUUAACGCACCUCGUUUUUCGUCCAGUGGACUCAGACCUGUAGUCUUCCACCAGGAUCGGCUCCUUUCCCGGAGCUCUCGCUCUUAGAGGAAAUUGAGAGAAGCAUCAGCGGAGACCCAUCUGUGGCUCUCCAGAGGGCGCGGCAUUCAGACCCCAGAUCCAGCUGUGAGAACGGACCCCAGGCUCACACCAGGCCUGCGGGAGGCGGCCCACCAGAGGCGCUAGAAAACAAGCCUCGCGGGGAGGCGCGCAGGGCGACU